UAAUGUAUGGGGAUCUGCCCGAUAGAGGGGAAUAACUACUGGAAACGGUGGCUAAUACCGCAUAAUGUCUACGGACCAAAGCAGGGGCUCUUCGGACCUUGCACUAUCGGAUGAACCCAUAUGGGAUUAGCUAGUAGGUGGGGUAAAGGCUCACCUAGGCGACGAUCUCUAGCUGGUCUGAGAGGAUGAUCAGCCACACUGGAACUGAGACACGGCCCAG
rnacentral:rRNA from 1 species